rnacentral:rRNA from 1 species
AUGUUUGUGCCUUUGAAUGUCGACCCCUCCGUCUCUCAACUAAUCGCCCAAGCUCUGGGGUGUGCGAUAGCCAGCUUUCCUAAAACCUAUCUAGGCCUUCCCCUAUCACCUCACAAGCUACCCCCCUUAGCUUUCCAGCCAAUCAUCUCUUCUUGCAGGAGUCUCCUACCUGGCUGGUGUGCAAAGCUUCUCAACCGUGCAGGUCGCCUUGUCCUCAUUUCUUCGGUCCUCGACUCCCUGGCUACGUACUUUAUGUCCGUUUUCAAACUGCCAAAAAAGGUUAUCAAAAUGUUAGACUCCAUUCGUAGAGCGUUCUUUUGGGCUGCUGAGGAAACGUGCACCGGCUCCAGAUGUUUAAUUGCAUGGAAAAACGUUUGCAAACCU